rnacentral:rRNA from 1 species
UAACGCGUGGGAAACCUGNCCUGUACACACGGAUAACAUACCGAAAGGUAUGCUNAUACNAGAUAAAAUACUCUUAUCGCAUGGUAGAAGUAUCAAAGCUUUUGCGGUACAGGAUGGACCCGCGUCUGAUUAGCUAGUUGGUAAGGUAACGGCUUACCAAGGCGACGAUCAGUAGCCGACCUGAGAGGGUGAUCGGCCACAUUGGAACUGAGACACGGUCCAAACUCCUACGGGAGGCAGCAGUGGGGAAUAUUGCACAAUGGGCGAAAGCCUGAUGCAGCAACGCCGCGUGAGCGAUGAAGGCCUUCGGGUCGUAAAGCUCUGUCCUCAAGGAAGAUAAUGACGGUACUUGAGGAGGAAGCCCCGGCUAACUACGUGCCAGCAGCCGCGGUAAUACGUAGGGGGCUAGCGUUAUCCGGAAUUACUGGGCGUAAAGGGUGCGUAGGUGGUUUCUUAAGUCAGAGGUGAAAGGCUACGGCUCAACCGUAGUAAGCCUUUGAAACUGGGGAACUUGAGUGCAGGAGAGGAGAGUGGAAUUCCUAGUGUAGCGGUGAAAUGCGUAGAUAUUAGGAGGAACACCAGUUGCGAAGGCGGCUCUCUGGACUGUAACUGACACUGAGGCACGAAAGCGUGGGGAGCAAACAGGAUUAGAUACCCUGGUAGU